GAGAGUAUAGGUCAGUGGUAGAGAGCAUGCCUAGCAUGCACGAGGUUCUGGGUUCAAUCCCCAGUACCUCCA
rnacentral:tRNA from 1 species